rnacentral:rRNA from 1 species
GACGUAGGGGGCGAGCGUUGUCCGGAUUUAUUGGGCGUAAAGCGCGUGUAGGCUGCUCGGAAAGUCGGAUGUGAAAGCCCUGGGCUCAACCUAGGAAGUGCAUUCGAAACUUCCGAGCUGGAGUGCUGGAGAGGAAGGCGGAAUUCUCGGUGUAGAGGUGAAAUUCGUAGAUAUCGAGAGGAACACCGGUGGCGAAGGCGGCCUUCUGGACAGCGACUGACGCUGAGACGCGAAAGCGUGGGGAGCAAACAGG